ACGCCCCGAAUUGUAGUCUAGAAAGGCGCCAUCGGACGCGCCGGCCGCUCAAAUCCCUUGGAACAGGGUAUCGGAGAAGGUGAGAAUCCUGUGCCGUGGCCGGUCGCUUCCGCACGAUGCGCCCUUGUCGAGUCGGGUUGCUUGGGAUUGCAGCUUUAAGUGGGUGGUAAAUUCCAUCUAAAGCUAAAUACUGGCGGGAGACCGAUAGCGAACAAGUACCGUGAGGGAAAGAUGCAAAGAACUUUGAAAAGAGAGUUAAAGAGUGCUUGAAAUUGGCAAGAGGAAACCCGGAUGCGCGCAGCCUCGCGCCGUCGACUCAGCCGCGCGCGUGCUUUCUGGUGGACCGCAAGGCCUCCUUGCUGUAGCGCGCGGUGCACUUUGGCGGCGCAGAUCAUCCGCCACGAUGUCUGCGGCACAUGGCGUGGGGUAGGGCUCCGGCGAGCCCCGCGUUGCGCCGCGGCCGUCGUGCCGGCUGAUGGAAUGCGCGCAUCCGACCCGUCUAGAAACACGGACCAAGGAGUCUGACACGUGCGCGAGUACUCGGGUGGCAAGCCCGUGUGCGUAAUGAAAGUAAAGGGCGCUCCAACGCCAACCGACCUUGAUCUUCUGUGAAGGGUUUGAGUCGAGCGCACCUGCCGGGACCCGAAAGAUGGUGAACUAUGCCUGGAGUUGGUGAAGCCAGAGGAAACUCUGGUGGAAGCCUGUCGCGGUACUGACGUGCAAAUCGUUCGUCACAUCUGGGUAUAGGGGCGAAAGACUAAUCGAACCAUCUAGUAGCUGGUUCCCUCCGAAGUUUCCCUCAGGAUAGCUUGAACGUACAUGGUGUUGU
rnacentral:rRNA from 1 species